rnacentral:rRNA from 1 species
GGUAUUUUGACCGUGCGAAGGUAGCGCAAUCACUUGUCUACUAAAUAUAGACCUGUAUGAAUGGCAAGACGAGGGCUUAACUGUCUCCUUUAUCAAGUCAAUGAAAUUGAUUUUCCCGUGCAGAAGCGGGAAUAACAACAUUAGACGAGAAGACCCUAUGAAGCUUAAGACAUAAGCAGCCCAUGUUAAAAAUCUUAUAAGGGGCUAAACGUAAUGGAGCCUGCCCUACGUCUUUGGUUGGGGUGACCACGGAGAAAUAAAUAACCCUCCAUGCGGAAUAACAACACAGUUGUUUCAUCUUAGAGUUACAUCUCAAUGCACUAGAAUUUCUGACCAUAAGAUCCGGCAACGCCGAUCAACGGACCAAGUUACUCUAGGGAUAACAGCGCAAUCCCCUUUUAGAGCCCAUAUCGACAAGGGGGUUUACGACCUCGAUGUUGGAUCAGGGCAUCCUAAUGGUGCAGCCGCUAUUAAGGGUUCGUUUGUU